GGGUUGUGAGGUUAAGCGACUAAGCGUACACGGUGGAUGCCCUGGCAGUCAGAGGCGAUGAAGGACGUGCUAAUCUGCGAUAAGCGUCGGUGAGGUGAUAUGAACCGUUAUAACCGGCGAUUUCCGAAUGGGGAAACCCAGUGUGUUUCGACACACUAUCAUUAACUGAAUCCAUAGGUUAAUGAGGCGAACCGGGGGAACUGAAACAUCUAAGUACCCCGAGGAAAAGAAAUCAACCGAGAUUCCCCCAGUAGCGGCGAGCGAACGGGGAGGAGCCCAGAGCCUGAAUCAGUGUGUGUGUUAGUGGAAGCGUCUGGAAAGGCGCGCGAUACAGGGUGAGAGCCCCGUACACAAAAAUGCACAUAUUGUGAGCUCGAUGAGUAGGGCGGGACACGUGGUAUCCUGUCUGAAUAUGGGGGGACCAUCCUCCAAGGCUAAAUACUCCUGACUGACCGAUAGUGAACCAGUACCGUGAGGGAAAGGCGAAAAGAACCCCGGCGAGGGGAGUGAAAAAGAACCUGAAACCGUGUACGUACAAGCAGUGGGAGCCUCUUUAUGGGGUGACUGCGUACCUUUUGUAUAAUGGGUCAGCGACUUAUAUUCUGUAGCAAGGUUAACCGAAUAGGGGAGCCGAAGGGAAACCGAGUCUUAACUGGGCGUUAAGUUGCAGGGUAUAGACCCGAAACCCGGUGAUCUAGCCAUGGGCAGGUUGAAGGUUGGGUAACACUAACUGGAGGACCGAACCGACUAAUGUUGAAAAAUUAGCGGAUGACUUGUGGCUGGGGGUGAAAGGCCAAUCAAACCGGGAGAUAGCUGGUUCUCCCCGAAAGCUAUUUAGGUAGCGCCUCGUGAAUUCAUCUCCGGGGGUAGAGCACUGUUUCGGCAAGGGGGUCAUCCCGACUUACCAACCCGAUGCAAACUGCGAAUACCGGAGAAUGUUAUCACGGGAGACACACGGCGGGUGCUAACGUCCGUCGUGAAGAGGGAAACAACCCAGACCGCCAGCUAAGGUCCCAAAGUCAUGGUUAAGUGGGAAACGAUGUGGGAAGGCCCAGACAGCCAGGAUGUUGGCUUAGAAGCAGCCAUCAUUUAAAGAAAGCGUAAUAGCUCACUGGUCGAGUCGGCCUGCGCGGAAGAUGUAACGGGGCUAAACCAUGCACCGAAGCUGCGGCAGCGACACUAUGUGUUGUUGGGUAGGGGAGCGUUCUGUAAGCCUGUGAAGGUGGCCUGUGAGGGUUGCUGGAGGUAUCAGAAGUGCGAAUGCUGACAUAAGUAACGAUAAAGCGGGUGAAAAGCCCGCUCGCCGGAAGACCAAGGGUUCCUGUCCAACGUUAAUCGGGGCAGGGUGAGUCGACCCCUAAGGCGAGGCCGAAAGGCGUAGUCGAUGGGAAACAGGUUAAUAUUCCUGUACUUGGUGUUACUGCGAAGGGGGGACGGAGAAGGCUAUGUUGGCCGGGCGACGGUUGUCCCGGUUUAAGCGUGUAGGCUGGUUUUCCAGGCAAAUCCGGAAAACCAAGGCUGAGGCGUGAUGACGAGGCACUACGGUGCUGAAGCGACAAAUGCCCUGCUUCCAGGAAAAGCCUCUAAGCAUCAGGUAACAUCAAAUCGUACCCCAAACCGACACAGGUGGUCAGGUAGAGAAUACCAAGGCGCUUGAGAGAACUCGGGUGAAGGAACUAGGCAAAAUGGUGCCGUAACUUCGGGAGAAGGCACGCUGAUAUGUAGGUGAAGCGACUUGCUCGUGGAGCUGAAAUCAGUCGAAGAUACCAGCUGGCUGCAACUGUUUAUUAAAAACACAGCACUGUGCAAACACGAAAGUGGACGUAUACGGUGUGACGCCUGCCCGGUGCCGGAAGGUUAAUUGAUGGGGUUAGCGGUAACGCGAAGCUCUUGAUCGAAGCCCCGGUAAACGGCGGCCGUAACUAUAACGGUCCUAAGGUAGCGAAAUUCCUUGUCGGGUAAGUUCCGACCUGCACGAAUGGCGUAAUGAUGGCCAGGCUGUCUCCACCCGAGACUCAGUGAAAUUGAACUCGCUGUGAAGAUGCAGUGUACCCGCGGCAAGACGGAAAGACCCCGUGAACCUUUACUAUAGCUUGACACUGAACAUUGAGCCUUGAUGUGUAGGAUAGGUGGGAGGCUUUGAAGUGUGGACGCCAGUCUGCAUGGAGCCGACCUUGAAAUACCACCCUUUAAUGUUUGAUGUUCUAACGUUGGCCCGUAAUCCGGGUUGCGGACAGUGUCUGGUGGGUAGUUUGACUGGGGCGGUCUCCUCCUAAAGAGUAACGGAGGAGCACGAAGGUUGGCUAAUCCUGGUCGGACAUCAGGAGGUUAGUGCAAUGGCAUAAGCCAGCUUGACUGCGAGCGUGACGGCGCGAGCAGGUGCGAAAGCAGGUCAUAGUGAUCCGGUGGUUCUGAAUGGAAGGGCCAUCGCUCAACGGAUAAAAGGUACUCCGGGGAUAACAGGCUGAUACCGCCCAAGAGUUCAUAUCGACGGCGGUGUUUGGCACCUCGAUGUCGGCUCAUCACAUCCUGGGGCUGAAGUAGGUCCCAAGGGUAUGGCUGUUCGCCAUUUAAAGUGGUACGCGAGCUGGGUUUAGAACGUCGUGAGACAGUUCGGUCCCUAUCUGCCGUGGGCGCUGGAGAACUGAGGGGGGCUGCUCCUAGUACGAGAGGACCGGAGUGGACGCAUCACUGGUGUUCGGGUUGUCAUGCCAAUGGCACUGCCCGGUAGCUAAAUGCGGAAGAGAUAAGUGCUGAAAGCAUCUAAGCACGAAACUUGCCCCGAGAUGAGUUCUCCCUGAGACUUAGAGUCUCCUGAAGGAACGUUGAAGACGACGACGUUGAUAGGCCGGGUGUGUAAGCGCAGCGAUGCGUUGAGCUAACCGGUACUAAUGAACCGUGAGGCUUAACCUUACAACGCCGAAG
rnacentral:rRNA from 1 species